rnacentral:rRNA from 1 species
UACGGAGGGGGCUAGCGUUAAUCGGAAUUACUGGGCGUAAAGCGUGCGUAGACGGUAGCGUAAGUCAGAUGUGAAAGCCCCGGGCUCAACCUGGGAACUGCAUUUGAGACUGCUCUGCUCGGGUGCGGAAGAGGGAAGCGGAAUUUCCGGUGUAGCGGUGAAAUGCGUAGAUAUCGGAAGGAACACCAGUGGCGAAAGCGGCUUCCUGGUCCGACACCGACGUUCAGGCACGAAAGCGUGGGGAGCAAACAGG